GCCCCCGUAGCUCAGUAGGAUAGAGCGCAGGAUUCCUAAUCCUGAGGCCGUGUGUUCGAUCCACGCCGGGGGCG
rnacentral:tRNA from 1 species